CCCUUAGAUGUCCUGGGCUGCACGCGCGCUACACUGAUGUGUCCAGUAAGCACCUAACCUCUUCCGAAAGGAACGGGUAACCUUUGCAAAGCACAUCGUGAUGGGGAUAGAUUAUUGCAAUUAUUAGUCUUGAACGAGGAAUUCCUAGUAAGCACAAGUCAUCAGCUUGUGUUGAUUACGUCCCUGCCCUUUGUACACACCGCCCGUCGCUCCUACCGAUUGAAUGUUCCGGUGAGCUCUUCCGACUGCGCGGUCUGCAGUUUCUGCGUUCCGUGCGGAAAGUUGCGCAAACCUUAACAUUUAGAGGAAGGAGAAGUCGUAACA
rnacentral:rRNA from 1 species